rnacentral:rRNA from 1 species
UACGUAGGGUCCGAGCGUUGUCCGGAAUUAUUGGGCGUAAAGAGCUCGUAGGCGGUCUGUCGCGUCUGGUGUGAAAAAUCCAGGGCUUAACCCUGGACCUGCAUCGGGUACGGGCAGACUAGAGGUAUGCAGGGGGAGAACGGAAUUCCUGGUGUAGCGGUGAAAUGCGCAGAUAUCAGGAGGAACACCGGUGGCGAAGGCGGUUCUCUGGGCAUUACCUGACGCUGAGGAGCGAAAGUGUGGGGAGCGAACAGG